UAUUUUUUUCUGUGAAAGGUGUUGUGACAGUCAUUAUAUUUAUAAUUCUUUAGUUCAAUAUGAACUCUGGUCCUGAGUAAGACAUGAGCAGGUAUUAAAGGCUUUGCCACAUUUUUUACAUUUGUAGGAUUUUUCUCAGGUAUGAAUUUUCUCAGGUACAUUGAGGUCUGAGCAGUGGUUAAAGGUUUUGCCACAUUCUUCAGAUUUGUAGCAUUUCUCUCUUGUAUGAAUUCUCUUAUGGUUUGAAAGGCUUGAACAAGAUAUAAAGACUUUACCACAUUCUUCACAUUUAUAGGGCUUCUCUCCAGUAUGAAUUCUUUUAUGUUCAGUAAGGUGUGAGCACCGGUUAAAAGCUUUGCCACAUUCUUCACAUUUGUAGGGUUUCUCUCCAGUAUGAAUUCUCUUAUGUUUAGUGAGGUUUGAACACUGGUUAAAAGCUUUGCCACAUUCAUCACAUUUGUAGGGUUUCUCUCCAGUAUGAAUUCUUUUAUGUAGAGUUAGGUAUGAGAACCAGUUAAAGGCUUUGCCACAUUCUUCACAUUUAUGGGGUUUCUGUCCAGUGUGAAUUUUCUUAUGUUUGGCAUGGUUUGAACUGUGGUUAAAAGCUUUGCCACAUUCUUCACAUUUAUAGAUUCUUUACAGUUGGAAGAUAUCUCUCCAGUAUGUCUUAUCUUAUGUCUAUUUAGAUUUGACGAUUUACUAAAGACUUUCACACAUUUAUUAAAUUGAAAGAUUUUGGUAUGUGUAGUUGAUAAAGAUUGGUUAAGUCCAUUACAACAUUCUUUCUGCACCUUAGAUUCACCCACACUUUCCCAAUCUUUCUUUAAUUGUAAAUUCUCAAUGCCAUAGCUUCCAUAUCUUCUCAGUAUCACUUUUUGAAAUGAAUCUUUUAUACCAUGCUCUGGCAAGAGGUCUUGGGUGAAAUGAGAAGAAACAGUUGUACACAAUACUUACACACUUUUUAUUUGUGAAAAAAUCCAUGUUACACACAUGUACAUAUAUACACAAAUGUAUACACACCAACAUAUAUAUGAAUAACAGUUCCGGUCAUUCCAAACAAAAUUAUAAAAUUACAGUUAUUAUAAACUAAGGUAGCAAGUGGAAGUUAAACAUAUGCUGAGCACUGCUCUAAGCUACCCAAAUACACAGCAUAUUUAAGAAAUCUAGGAAGCUGAUACGGUUUGGCUGUGCCCCCACCCAAAUCUCAACUUAAAUUGCAUCUCCCAGAAUUCCCACGUGCUGUGGGAGGGACCCAGAGGGAGGUAAUUGAAUCAUGGGGGCCAGUCUUUCCCGUGCUAUUCUCAUGAUAGUAAAUAAGUCUCAUGGGAUCUGAUGGCUUUCUCAAGGGUUUCUGCUGUUGCUUCUUCCUCAUUUUCUCUUGCUGCUGAGGCCUCCCCAGCCAUGUGGAAAUAGUUAAGUCCAGUUAAACCUCUUUUUCUUCCCAGUCUCAGGUACGUCUUUGUUAGCAGUGUGAAAACUGACUAAUACAGAAGUGAACAGAUACACUAAACCACACUACAGUUGAGAAUUUGGGGCAGAGUUUAAAUUACCAUCAGUUUCAGACAAUAAACAUGUCACAUUAUUUCCGUAAUUCAAAUCAUUCAGUAAACAAUCACAUAUGAACAUAUCUAGGAGAUGCCAAGUCCCAUCUUGUAAAAUUCAGUAUUAAACUCAGACAUCUAGAUAAUAGAGAUAUCAACUCCACAAGUCCUCUACCCUGCAAAAAAGAGGAACUAAUAUUUUGAUGAAGCAAUGUAAUUCACCAAUUAAUCUACUACUUUUUUUGUGGAAAUGUAUUCAUUUCCUAUAGCCAUACUGGAAGAGGAUUUUCCCUAUUACUUUCCCUGGUAGCAUUCCCACAGCUACGCCCUGGGAUUCUGUUUAAAAUCACCCCUAAAAAGGAACAGGCCUGACAAACUUACUAUACUCUAGGGAAGAAAAAGGUAAAUCAGAAUUUUUAACAAGUGAAUAUUUGACUAUAUAUGUAAUGUCUUUUCUGAAAUCCACCUCUUAAACAUUUUCUUACCUUUGAAACUCUACUGUUAAAAUGCAAUUGACAGUUAAUAAAAAACUAAGGUUGAAUUAAGUGAAAAAAAUGUUUCAAGGUGUAAAACCCAGGAAGUGGCAAUGCUGAUUGGAACACAGACAAAUCUGACUCAAGUGCCAAGUCAGGCCGUCCUAUCACUUGGGACCUUCCUCUGUUUC
rnacentral:lncRNA from 1 species